rnacentral:rRNA from 1 species
GUGUGGGACGUGUCCUAUUUUGUAUGUACCUUAUGAAUAAGGAUCGGCUAACUCCGUGCCAGCAGCCGCGGUAAUACGGAGGAUCCGAGCGUUAUCCGGAUUUAUUGGGUUUAAAGGGUGCGUAGGCGGCCUUUUAAGUCAGCGGUGAAAGUCUGUGGCUCAACCAUAGAAUUGCCGUUGAAACUGGGGGGCUUGAGUAUGUUUGAGGCAGGCGGAAUGCGUGGUGUAGCGGUGAAAUGCUUAGAUAUCACGCAGAACCCCGAUUGCGAAGGCAGCCUGCCAAGCCAUGACUGACGCUGAUGCACGAAAGCGUGGGGAUCAAACAGGAUUAGAUACCCUGGUAGUCCACGCAGUAAA